UAAUACAAUUGAGUGCGUAAUAGUCGUUAUGACUUGAUGGAAGUUGGUGAAAGUCCAAUGCUGUACCCGCAACUGUAAGGAUCGUAGUAUCCAAGUCAGGAACAUCGUGAGUGCUCAAUCACUU
rnacentral:ncRNA from 22 species